GUGGCUGCUCUUGUUACUAAAGGGGAGCUUGAUGGUGAAAUGGGGGAUGCACACAUGGCAAUGCAGGCUAGGUUGAUGAGCCAGGCCCUUCGGAAAUUAAACCGCUCCUUGUCAGUUUCUCAAUGUAUAUUGAUUUUUAUGAACUAGGCAAUCGAAGAUUCUAGAAUCUCGAUUGUGGUUUUCUCCAGAAGCUAUGGGGAUUCGACGUGGUGGUUGAAGGAAUUGGAGAAGAUAACAGAGUGUUGGAGCAGUAAGGGUCAGAAGGUUGCGCCAGUGUUCUACGUUGUUGAUCUGUCGGAAGCUGGGGCGGCGUUCGCAUGCCGGGAAUCGCUCAAGAAAGAUGCUUGCCUUCCGGGUUUUGUUACACUGAAUCGGCUUUCGAAGGAGGUAGUCGACGCGCGCCACCAGUGCCUUAAGUGCGCUAUGGACCUUUCCAUGAAGCACGAGUAUCUCCCUGAAGAUCUUCAGGUUUUUUCUUCUUUUUUUGACCAAUCCUUUUAAUUCUAAUUCUAGCUACCCAUGUAUUUUAUUUAUUUAUUUAUUUAUUUAUUGUUGUUUUUGUUGUUGAGAUGGAUGAGAAUCUUUCAGUAAUUCAGUAUUAAGUUUUGAUUUGUCUUUUAGAUUGCCUCAGCGAAAUGCUAAGUGUUACAGGGCCUGAAUUUUAGUUAACAACUACAAAAGGAAAACGCUUGAAAAGAACAUGGAUUUGGAUGAAUCGUUUCCUUCAGAAUCUUCUUAACUGUCUACUAGAAGCACUGGCCUUCCACCAUCAUUCCAUCAUCAUUCUCAUGCAAUAUUCCAAAUCUCACCAUUUUCAUGUAAUGAUUCAUCUGAUGGAAGUAUUGAUCCUCUACCACCAUUUUUCAGACAUUAUUGCAUCUGAACAACCUACUGCAUAUAUUGCUUCUAGUGAAUUAACAACAACUGCGAGCACUCUUAUGGCUUAGAGCGAGUAAUUCAAUUCGAUGAUAGUGUCAAGUUCUACUCUCAAUGUUUAAGAGAUUGACAGGUCGGAAUGAAGUAGCUAUCUCAGCUGAUGACUACAAAUUUUAUUCUCCAAGAUACAAGUUUUGGCAUACAGCAUCAAUUUCACUUUUCAAUAUCGCUGAUAUCCCUGUUAAGUAUGAUGUGCCCCAUUUUGGUGAAUAAAGUGAUCCUUGUAAGAUAUCCAACAAUAUAAGCAACUUCAUUGUCUAAUAAUAAAGGAGGUUUAGGUUAUGACAUAAUUUGUUGGAAAAAUGAAUGGAAACCAUGUUCGUAUAUAUAUGUAAUUAGGUGCCAUAUGGCUUAGCUGCAUAUUGCAUGUUAAAAAGCUUUGAAGGGAUUCAUGUGCUUUGGUUUCUAAUUUUGUGUUUUUCUAACUGGUUGUCAACUAUUAAGAAGGCUUAGGGUGUUUGUUAGUGGGUACCUUCUUGAAAUCACUUGUGGGCAAAAGAAGGGAAGGAAAAGGCACCAAACACUUUGCAACUGAGAAACAAAGAAGAUAGCAACUGAAUGGCAAAUACAAAAUCCUGAGAAGUCUUAUCCCAAGCCCCACAAAGAUGGAUAGAGCCUUUGUGGUGGGUGAUGUCAUUGAAUAUAUAAGGGAGCUGCUCAGAAUGGUUAAUGAGCUCAAAUUACUGGUGGAGAAGAAAAGAUAUUAAAGGGAGAGAUGCAAAAGGCAGAAAGCGAAAGAUGAUGCUGCAGAGAGCUGUAACAUAAAGUCUUUCAGCAAUCCAGAUGGAUGCAUAAGGACCUCAUGGCUUCAAAGGAAAUCGAAAGAUAGCGAGGUUGAUGUGCGGAUUAUUGAUGAUGAUGUUACAAUCAAACUCUUCCAGAGGAAGAAGAUUAACUGUCUACUUUCAGUCGCCAAGUUUCUGGAUGAACUUCAGUUGGAACUUCACCAUGUUGCAGGUGGACAUGUUGGCAAAUAUUACAGUUUCUUGUUCAAUAGCAAGUCUAUGCCAGUGCUAUAGCCAACAGUGUGAUCGAUGUUAUGGACACUCAGUAUGCAGCAGCAGUUCCACAUACAGGUAGCUAUUAGGUUAAGGGGAUAAUAGUUUCAAGUUUUGGCACUGUACCAAGGUUCAAGUAACUAGUUACAUGUACGAAAAUAAGAAAAGAGAAUUGUCUUUAUUGCAAAUUAUGAUCCGUCGAGGUUAUUGAGUAACCUAAGCAGUCUCUAUGCUAAUACUUCACAAAGUAAUAAUUAGUGGAUAUGAUUUGCUUAAUUAUUUAUAUAGGAAUUAUUACUUUUGAUUUUUAAUACUAAAAAUUAUAUAUUAUGUUUGAUA